CCUGUCUGUGUGAUGAAAUAAAUGUUGGUAGGGACAUCUGAUUUAAACUGAAGAAAUGCCAACUUUUCUGACUGAAUGGG
ensembl:snoRNA small nucleolar RNA SNORD74